rnacentral:lncRNA from 1 species
UUUUGUUUCAUUUUCAAAUAUCAUCAAGAAUUUUAGUUAGCAAACAAUGAAUUGAAAGUCAGAGUUCUAUUUUUUUUCUUUUAUCUUAGCAUAUGGGGAUGCACAAGGCUUUUUUUUUUUUUUUGAAUCUGACUUUUCAUCUCUGACAGAUGACAGGUCACAUCUUACUCAGCAGUGAUUUCAGUAAUUAAUCAUAUUAGUCCCUUAAAUAGUUGCACAAAAAUAAUAAUUUGAACACAUAUUCUGCCGGCAGGUACUGUGAAACUCUGCCUUUGGCCAUGGAUAUUUAUUUUCAGUUGUAUAACAAAACAGCUAUGUUUAUGCACUUGAGGCCCUCACAACAUUGGGUCGCCUGCAAUCCCCUCCUGCAUUGAACUCUGGAAUAGUUUACAUGGACUCUGAGGGCCAAUCAUCCUGAGGAUAUACAAGUAGUACCAGGUAACAGUUUUGUGUAAGGCCAGACACUUCUUCUAUAGUAUAGCUAUUUAUGGCUUGUUCAUACUCUAGGAUAUAACCUCACACUGGGUGAAUGUUUUGAAUACCAACUAAAUGCAUGAAGUCACCAAGCCAGAUUAGUGUAGAAUCCUUUAUGUCUUCUACCUUGGCCCCCUUCCUCAGGAGUAAUUAGAGACAGACGCCUAGGAAAUCCUCCUACAAUGCAAAACCACAUUAAGAUGGAGAAAUUUCAAUUUCAAGCCAACAUAAGCCACAUAAGAGUUCCAGGCUGGUCAGAGCUACGUGGUUUAAAACAAUCCACUUUAUUUUCAUUACCUGCUGCUGAUAACAAAUAUAGAGAUCCCCCAGUGAUUUUGUUUGAAGAGGUACAGAAAACAUUACAACAAGAUUAAAUAUAUUACAGUGAACUAUGUGCAGCACUAUAAGAAAAUAUCAAAAUACAUUCCAUAGAUGUGUUAAAUUUAAAAAUGAUAAAUAAAAGCAUUAAAACAAAAGGUAAGGGGGAGGAAUUUAUCAAGAGAAUUUUAAGAGCUUUUGUAGUAAUCUGAUGUCCACUCAUGAAUAGAACAGAAUUGGGAAGGCUGGUUUACUUCACUGGUAGUUUUUGUUACUGGUAUUAUGUGCUCUGGUGUAUCAGUCCUUGGGGAAAGUUUUAGUUCAAGUAAAUGUGUGUAGAGCCCAUUAGAGCAAACUUUGUAGGAAUCCUAGCAAAGGUGAAUAGGUGAAACUUCUAUCCUUAGCCUCCUGCCUUGAAUAACUCUGAGUGUAUCAACAUUGGUUCUCUUUUGAAAUGGACAAUGUUCUUAUUCUUGAUGAAAAAAUAAAAUACUGGUGUGUGUGUGUGUGUUUGUGUGUGUGUCCCAUAAAAGAUGCAUUGGUUUCCUAAGAUGAAUGUUUCCGUGUUCCGCAUGAUCACUAUUCUAGCAUAUUUGGUUGUCAAAGAGCUCCUUCCCCUGGUAUCACUUCCUCUGCUAUCAGUGUUCAGCACUGGCCCUGCUCAUUAUCUUGUUCUAAUGUCAGAGGCAGAUAACAAUCUUUCCCAAACAGCAGACAGACUUAUAGUGGCAGAAUUAAUUAAAAUUGAUUCACACAUUGUGUCAUGUAAAGGUCUUCUGAGAGCUUUCUUUGCUACAUCCCUCUCGGUUUCCUGGUGUUGUACUACAUGACCCAGGUGGGAAUCACUGCGUGCGAAUACUAAUUAGAAACCUGAAUAGAACUGUGUACACUGAGUGGCAGUGGAAUGCAUGAAGGGAAUUUAGAACUUACUUCAUUUAAGGAUUUCAUAAGGGAUUAAUUCUUUAUUCCGACUUCUUAAGAUUUUAUUCAGAGGAGGACA